GCUAUCUUAGCUUAGUUGGUAGAGCGCAUGGCUUUUAACCAUGUGGUUGUGGGUUCAAUUUCCACAGACGGCA